rnacentral:rRNA from 1 species
GAUGAACGCUAGCUACAGGCUUAACACAUGCAAGUCGAGGGACCGGCGCACGGGUGAGUAAUACGUAUCCAUCCUGCCCUUUACUCGGGGAUAGCCUUUCGAAAGAAAGAUUAAUACCCGAUAUAAAGGAUGGGGAUGCGUUCGAUUAGGUUGUUGGUGAGGUAACGGCUCACCAAGCCUCCGAUGGAUAGGGGUUCUGUGAGGAAGGGCCCCCGCAGUGGAACUAAGGCGCGGGCGAAACUCCUACGGGAGGGAGCAGUGAGUAAUAUAGGGAAAGGGGCGCUAGCUUGAACCAGCCAAGUAGCGUGAAGGAUGAAGGCUUAUGGGUCGUAAUCUUCUUUUAUAUAAGAAUCGGUAUUAGAUGAAUAAGGAGCGGCUAACUCCGUGCCAGCAGCCGCGGUAAUAC